UACAGAGGGGCAAGCGUUGUUCGGAAUUACUGGGCGUAAAGGGCGCGUAGGCGGCUUGGCAAGUGGAUGGUGAAAUCCCUCGGCUUAACCGAGGAACUGCCGUCCAAACUGCUUAGCUUGAGACCGGGAGAGGUGAGUGGAAUUCCCAGUGUAGCGGUGAAAUGCGUAGAUAUUGGGAGGAACACCAGUGGCGAAGGCGGCUCACUGGACCGGUACUGACGCUGAUGCGUGAAAGCGUGGGGAGCAAACGGG
rnacentral:rRNA from 1 species